rnacentral:rRNA from 1 species
GACGAACGCUGGCGGCGUGCUUAACACAUGCAAGUCGAACGGAAAGGCCUGCUUUCCCUUGUGGAUUGCGGGUACUCGAGUGGCGAACGGGUGAGUAACACGUGAGUGAUCUGCCCCCAACUUGGGUAUAAGCCUGGGAAACUGGGUCUAAUUCCCGAUAGGACUGCAGGGUGGUGCCUGUGGUGGAAAACGAUUUUCUAGUGGUUGGGGAUGAGCUCGCGGCCUAUCAGCUUGUUGGUGGGGUAAUGGCCUACCAAGGCGGCGACGGGUAGCCGGCCUGAGAGGGUGGACGGCGACAUUGGGACUGAGAUACGGCCCAGACUCCUACGGGAGGCAGCAGUGGGGAAUAUAGCACAAUGGGCGGAAGCCUGAUGCAGCGACGCCGCGUGGGGGAUGACGGCCUUCGGGUUGUAAACUCCUCUCGACCGCGAGGAAGCCACCUGGUUGGAAGGGUGGUGACGGUAGUGGUAGAAGAAGCACCGGCUAACUACGUG